UGCGUAGGUGGGUUGGUAAGUCAGUGGUGAAAUACUUUCGCUUAACGAAGGAACUGCCAUUGAUACUACCAGUCUUGAAUACAGUGGAGGUAGGCGGAAUGCGUCAUGUAGCGGUGAAAUGCUUAGAUAUGACGCAGAACACCAAUUGCGAAGGCAGCUUGCUACACUGUUAUUGACACUGAGGCACGAAAGCGUGGGGAUCAAACAGGAUUAGAUACCCUGGUAGUCCACGCCCUAAACGAUGAUUACUCGAUCUCAGCGAUACACUGUUGGGGUCUAUGUGAAAGCAUUAAGUAAUCCACCUGGGGAGUACGAUCGCAAGAUUGAA
rnacentral:rRNA from 1 species